AGUGAACGCUGGCGGUAGGCCUAACACAUGCAAGUCGAACGGCAGCACAGUAAGAGCUUGCUCUUACGGGUGGCGAGUGGCGGACGGGUGAGGAAUACAUCGGAAUCUACUUUUUCGUGGGGGAUAACGUAGGGAAACUUACGCUAAUACAGCAUACGACCUACGGGUGAAAGCAGGGGAUCUUCGGACCUUGCGCGAUUGAAUGAGCCGAUGUCGGAUUAGCUAGUUGGCGGGGUAAAGGCCCACCAAGGCGACGAUCCGUAGCUGGUCUGAGAGGAUGAUCAGCCACACUGGAACUGAGACACGGUCCAGACUCCUACGGGAGGCAGCAGUGGGGAAUAUUGGACAAUGGGCGCAAGCCUGGUCCAGCCAUACCGCGUGGGUGAAGAAGGCCUUCGGGUUGUAAAGCCCUUUUGUUGGGAAAGAAAAGCAGCAGGUUAAUACCCCGCUGUUCUGACGGUACCCAAAGAAUAAGCACCGGCUAACUUCGUG
rnacentral:rRNA from 1 species